rnacentral:rRNA from 1 species
UACGUAGGGUGCAAGCGUUGUCCGGAAUUAUUGGGCGUAAAGAGCUCGUAGGCGGUCUGUCACGUCGGCUGUGAAAUCCCGAGGCUCAACCUCGGGUCUGCAGUCGAUACGGGCAAACUAGAGUAUUGCAGGGGAGACUGGAAUUCCUGGUGUAGCGGUGAAAUGCGCAGAUAUCAGGAGGAACACCGGUGGCGAAGGCGGGUCUCUGGGCAAUAACUGACGCUGGAGGAAGCGAAAGCGUGGGGGAGCGAAACAGGA